rnacentral:rRNA from 1 species
AUUGAACGCUGGCGGCAGGCCUAACACAUGCAAGUCGAGCGGAUGAAGAGAGCUUGCUCUCUGAUUUAGCGGCGGACGGGUGAGUAAUGCCUAGGAAUCUGCCUGGUAGUGGGGGAUAACGUUCCGAAAGGAACGCUAAUACCGCAUACGUCCUACGGGAGAAAGCAGGGGACCUUCGGGCCUUGCGCUAUCAGAUGAGCCUAGGUCGGAUUAGCUAGUUGGUGAGGUAAUGGCUAACCAAGGCUACGAUCCGUAACUGGUCUGAGAGGAUGAUCAGUCACACUGGAACUGAGACACGGUCCAGACUCCUACGGGAGGCAGCAGUGGGGAAUAUUGGACAAUGGGCGAAAGCCUGAUCCAGCCAUGCCGCGUGUGUGAAGAAGGUCUUCGGAUUGUAAAGCACUUUAAGUUGGGAGGAAGGGCAGUAAGUUAAUACCUUGCUGUUUUGACGUUACCGACAGAAUAAGCACCGGCUAACUUCGUGCCAGCCGCCGCGGUAAAAC